rnacentral:snRNA from 1 species
GUGCUCACUUCGGCAGCACAUAUACUAAAAUUAGAACGAUACAGAGAUUAGCAUGGCCCCUACACAAGGAUGACACACAAAUUUGUGAAGUGUUCCAUAUUUUU